UGGUAGAGUACCACCUUGCCAAGGUGGAUGUUGACGGUUCGAAUCCGUUCGCCCGCUCCA
rnacentral:tRNA from 1 species